rnacentral:rRNA from 1 species
AGAGUUUGAUUCUGGCUCAGGAUGAACGCUGGCGGCGUGCUUAACACAUGCAAGUCGAACGGAGUUUUUAAACGGAAGUUUUCGGAUGGAAGUUUAGAAACUUAGUGGCGGACGGGUGAGUAACGCGUGGGUAACCUGCCUCAUACAGGGGGAUAACAGUUAGAAAUGACUGCUAACACCGCAUAAUAUAGCGAAACCGCAUGAUUUUGCUAUCAAAUAUUUAUAGGUAUGAGAUGGGCCCGCGUCUGAUUAGCUAGUUGGUGGGGUAAAAGCCUACCAAGGCGACGAUCAGUAGCCGGCUUGAGAGAGUGACCGGCCACAUUGGGACUGAGACACGGCCCAAACUCCUACGGGAGGCAGCAGUGGGGAAUAUUGGACAAUGGGGGAAACCCUGAUCCAGCGACGCCCGCGUGAGUGAAGAAGUAUUUCGGUAUGUAAAGCUCUAUCAGCAGGGAAGAUAAUGACAGUACCUGACUAAGAAGCCCCGGCUAACUACGUGCCAGCAGCAGC